CAGGCCUAACACAUGCAAGUCGAACGGCAGCACAGUAAGAGCUUGCUCUUACGGGUGGCGAGUGGCGGACGGGUGAGGAAUACAUCGGAAUCUACUUUUUCGUGGGGGAUAACGUAGGGAAACUUACGCUAAUACCGCAUACGACCUACGGGUGAAAGCAGGGGACCUUCGGGCCUUGCGCGAUUGAAUGAGCCGAUGUCGGAUUAGCUAGUUGGCGGGGUAAAGGCCCACCAAGGCGACGAUCCGUAGCUGGUCUGAGAGGAUGAUCAGCCACACUGGAACUGAGACACGGUCCAGACUCCUACGGGAGGCAGCAGUGGGGAAUAUUGGACAAUGGGCGCAAGCCUGAUCCAGCCAUACCGCGUGGGUGAAGAAGGCCUUCGGGUUGUAAAGCCCUUUUGUUGGGAAAGAAAUCCAGCCGGUUAAUACCUGGUUGGGAUGACGGUACCCAAAGAAUAAGCACCGGCUAACUUAGUGCCAGCAGCCGCGGUAAU
rnacentral:rRNA from 1 species